AAAAUAACUAAGGAGGGGUUAUUGGUUUAUAGAUUUAUAAGGAAUUGGAAAUCCAAACAAAAAUCAUUUGUUAU
rnacentral:sRNA from 1 species